CCAUGUGUGGCUCAAAAAUCGGUAGAGCGAUGGCGCUUGCGACGCCAAAGGUUGUGGGUUCGAUUCCCAUUGGGGGGG
rnacentral:tRNA from 1 species